rnacentral:RNase_P_RNA from 1 species
CAUGUUCGCUUUAGCCUUAACGGGAUAAAGAGGAAAGUCCGGACACCACAGGGCAGGAUUCCUUACGAAAGUAAGGGGCAAGAUGGCAAACGUCUUGCACGGCAAGUGUCACAGAAAAUAAACCGCCAUUUGCGUGGCAAGGGUGAAAAGGAGGUGUAAGAGACCACCGCAUGGUCAGCAAUGGCCGUGGCAGGAUAAACCCAAUCUGGUGCAAGACCAAGUAGAAAGUUGGACGGCCCGUCUCAAAACUUUGGGUGAGUCGCAUUCGAAAGAAAGCAAUUAACAUUGCUAGAUAAAUGAACAUGGCAUCGACAACGAUGUACAGAAUCUGGCUUAUACACC